rnacentral:tRNA from 1 species
GUUUUUGUGGUGUAAUUUAACACAUUGCAUUUUCGUUGCAAAGCUGAAAAAUUUUUUCUAAAAACU